UUAUAUUCCCUCCAAUUAGAAAAUCCUCCAAUUAAAUAACAAAAGGAAAAACCAAAUCCUGUAAUUAGAAUGAUACAGAAUGACGCCUGUAAUUAGAAUGAUAGGAAGAAUGACGGAAAACCUGCAUAGCGUCGCUGAAAAACCUUCUCCCUGCACGGCCUUCGACUAUCCUAGGUUGUUAUCGAUCGAGUUAUAUAUAAUUUUGGGUUGAUGCUGCUCGAUUAUUAUCAGUCUUCUCUGUCAAUCUUCUCCUUCAAUCUUUGCCCUGAAAGUCUUCAAAUUCUGUUUCUUGUAGGUUUUAAGAAUUAUUGCAGAAAGCCUUCGUCUCCUUCAAUUUAUGCUCUUAAUCGGUAGAAGUUUUUGCUUACCAGAUUCCAAUUUUGAUUUUUGAUUUUUGAUAUCCAACUACUGCCUUUUGGGAUUAGAAAGUAUAGCUUUUUCUGUGUUUACUAAGUCGUUUGUGAAAUCUAGUUGUUGUUAGAAUGAUUGAAUUGAUUCCUCCUCUAUUACUCUCUUUUUUUAAAAAUUGGUUCCACUGUUUUCAAGGCUACUGUUCUUUUUGUGAUUUUUCAGAAACUUUCUAAGUGUCAGUUGAUGCAUAUUGAUGUUUUAGUUGAAUGCCACUAGUCUAAAUAUGAAUUCAACCAUGUUCAAACUUUAUAUAUAUAUAUAUAUACCCCCCCCCUCUAGCGUUAAGCGUAUUAUCUAACAGGUAUCUUGGAGGAUACCCACUUACAUAUAAGGUGUUUUCCGUCCUCUUCUUGGAGAAGUUUAUGUUGCAAUCUCACAAAGAUGAGUUGCGCAGAUAGUUUGAGCAGCUUCGUCAGGAUGGGAUAUCUAUGACAUACUUUUCUGUAUUCUCCAUACCAAAAGAGUUAGCAAAAAUCGUUACCAAUUUAUAUUCUAUGAUCAAGUUUCAACAAUGUCUCCAUACUUUUAAAUUUGUUAUAUACUGAACGUACUCUGCACAUUCACUUUGUUUCCCAGAGUUUUGGCUCUUAACAAUCUUCAGAAUUAGUGAUUUGUUCUCAUCCAGGAACUGGCAUGGGAAAAGAAUAAGGCCAACUACUAAGGUAACAUCGAAUAACAUGUAAAAAUUCAAAUAAACACUGUCUAACCCCAAAUAAAAAAUAUGAGAUCUGCCCGUUUUAUAAGGAACCAGAGGCGGAUCCAGGAUUUUGAAGGCCGGGGUGCACUUUUGCUUUCAACCAAAAUCUGCUUUGUAUACG
rnacentral:lncRNA from 1 species